AAAUACUAAAAUAGUAGUUUCGGCCUACUUAAACCUUAAGAGGAGUAUUUA
rnacentral:tRNA from 1 species